rnacentral:rRNA from 1 species
UACGGAAGGCAGCAGGUGGGGAAUAUUGCACAAUGGGCGCAAGCCUGAUGCAGCCAUGCCGCGUGUAUGAAAAAGGCCUUCGGGUUGUAAAGUACUUUCAGUCGUGAGGAAGGUGUUAAGGUUAAUAACCUUAGCAAUUGACGUUAGCGACAGAAGAAGCACCGGCUAACUCCGUGCCAGCAGCCGCGGUAAUACGGAGGGUGCGAGCGUUAAUCGGAAUUACUGGGCGUAAAGGGCACGCAGGCGGUUAAUUAAGUUGGAUGUGAAAUCCCCGGGCUUAACCUGGGAAUGGCAUUCAAGACUGGUUAGCUAGAGUCUUGUAGAGGGGGUAGAAUUCCAUGUGUAGCGGUGAAAUGCGUAGAGAUGUGGAGGAAUACCGGUGGCGAAGGCGGCCCCUGGACAAAGACUGACGCUCAUGUGCGAAAGCGUGGGGAGCAAACAGGGAUUAGAUACC